AAAGGAUUCUAAGGGGAUUAAGGUCAAUGUCACAGUAGGUAAACAUCUGACUUGGAAAAUGAGAAUGAUUUUAAUAGGGAAGAAAAGGAGCAGGACCUUCCAGGCCAAGGAGUCCUGAGAGGGUCUGGUGUGCUGCGGGCCUUGUUUAUAAAUAUUCCCUAGCAGGUAGCAGCGUCCCCGGCUGUAGCAGAGGCUCAAUCAAUGUGGAUUCUAUACACGGUGUUUGGAUGAACUCUAAGGUGCAUGUAAUGGGUGAUAAGGUUGGCGAGUAAAUUUGGAGAAAGAUUUUGCAGGACUUGGAAUGCGAUGGUCAUGAGCAGCAACUUGGGAGUCCCAUUCUUGUGGAAUUCUGAGAGGACCUGUGAUGCAAGUGGUCUUAUGCAAGGAUGAUGAUUCUGGCAUUAAUGUGAUUGAUGGAUCAGAGAGGCGACAGCCUGGAUGAGGGCAGAUGGGGCAGGAGGCUGGCAGAGUUGUCUGGGGCAGAGGAGACCAAGAGACCCUGAACAAGGACAGUGUCUGUGAAACUGAGGGAGAAAUGCGGGCAGGUGAGUGAGUGAGUGUGGGUGAGCAGGCUCAAGAUGAUGCCACGGUUUGUAGUCUGGGUGACAGGGAAGAUGUGACAUGCACACACAUGCAAUGAUGAAUUCAUGAUCACACACGCACACCACGUGCAUGCUUCUGUGUCCUGGUCUGACACUAUUCUGAAGCUCAUUUAGUGACCAAGUGCAGUAUGCUUAAAGGCAAUGAGAUCCGAUUCCACAAUCUAGUGGCUCAUCAGAUUUACAAAAUAGAAAGCGGAGCUGGCCAAAGAGAAUACUCCAGAGUUUGAGUCAUUGCAGCAGAUGCCAUGCAAGGCCAGGUUGAUACACACAGAAGCAAAAGUGGGGGUUAUGCCUCUGACUUCAGAGGUGUUGAUCUUAAGCAGCACGCUUCCAAAGGAUCCAGGGAAAUAUUCUAUCUGAGCACACAGUGAAGGCCAGGAAGCAACUACUCUAUGCAGACAUAAAAAUAAUGGGAUGAACUGUCAGAACUGUCAACGUCAGGGGCAGAGAAAAACCUGUUAGCUCAGCUAGUUCAGGCCCAGUACCGCAACUGAGUCUAAGAGCUUGUCACCAUGCAAAGCCACCUGGGAAUGAGGUCUUUCCUGGGUCUGACUUCCUUCUGAAAUACAUCCUGUUGAGACUGUCAGAUGGGUAUGGAGUGGUGGUCCUCUUACUAGACUCAUUCACAAUUUGCACGUGUCUAUAUGGAUUACGUGCUGUCGAUCUCAGACAGUUUUCAGGUAGAAUUUUUAAUCAGGUUUUGAGUUAUUUAUAACGAAAGAAUCCUGGAUGUAAUGCCCCUACUUCCAUUUGCAUUUCUUCUUACCCAAAGCAAAGCCUCUACGUUGGGAGUGGAUAUACGACACGCAUGGAAACCAAACAAUUAAGAGCAAUUCCCCGUGAGGCGGCAGGCAGGCAGUUUUCAAAUCAGCUGCUCUUGGCAAGGGUAGAGGAAGAAAUUGCAGUACAAGCAUUGAAGAUGAGCCAUACCUUCUGAAAUUCUAGAAUUGUGACUAAACUACACAGCGGCAAGUAAGAACAGAUAUAGCCAGAGCUACAGAGAUGCUGUGGAUGACAAUUCCAGAUUUAGCAUAAAGCCUUUCGCCUCUUCUAUUAGGCUCUAUUUGCUGGGCUUCCCCUGCUCCCAGCUUGUUACAUAGCAUCGGUUGUUAAAAAUUCAGGUCUUCCCUGCGUGUCGUUAGAGUGAGUUCAACCUGGAGAUGUUAGACCUUCACUCAGCAGAUCCCCAGGAGCCUGGAGGAGCUCAGAGCAACAGCUUCCCUCUCUUCUCCAUCUGCUAGAAUUGGCCAGGGGCCUGACUUCUUGGCUGCAAUCAGUUUCCUUUCCAUUUCCCAGUUGGGAUGGAGUUCCAGCCCCUAACCCCAGCCUCGCUUGCUGGGUCCCUGAAAUCCUUGGCCAAUUUCUGCCAGCACCUGCUCCACAGGGACUGAGCCCUGCUGCCUGUUGUCCUUGUAGCAGUUUUGGACAGAACUUUUUGGCUUCUGGCCUUAGCCUUCUGAGGACCCCUUGUUGCUGUUGCCACGCCUCUGGUCAGAUCUUGGUGUCCAUGUGACUCCAAGCAUGACUUUAGAUUAUCUACAGCCCUGGGAUUCAGCAACUGCCAGCACUGCUUGACGACGAGGCCCCUCUCAGGUUGGCAUCCUCCAUCCAACUGUGUCCACUCCAUCUUUUAUUCACACCGAGAAAUCUCUUCUAAUCAUACAAUGGGAGCCCGAGGAUUCCCUGCAAUGUAUACAGUAGCCCUGAUGCAGAAAAGGAACGAGGCCACUCUCCUUCGUGGAACAAGAGAGGACACAGCAUAGCCCAGAAAGCAAUUCAGAACUGGGUGUGUGUACCUAAAUGAGGACCUGGGCCAGUCCUGGACAGUGAGAAGAGAUUGCGUUUAUUCCAAAACCAUGUUGUGGUCAUCUGUCAUUUAUACUUGUAUGUUGUAUAUUUGAAUAAACUCAAUAAUUUUGGUAACCUGAAUACUGCUCUUUUUGUAGAAUGGUACCUGUCCUUAGUAAAUAGCUUCUGUGGUUGUCACUGUCAGGCUCCAUAUUGAAGAAGUCUCUUAGGUAUUGUCACAGUGUGAAGAGCUUACAUGGCAUCACCGUCAAGUUUCUGCUGCAA
rnacentral:lncRNA from 10 species